GAUGAACGCUGGCGGCGUGCCUAAUACAUGCAAGUCGAGCGAACAGAUAAGGAGCUUGCUCCUUUGACGUUAGCGGCGGACGGGUGAGUAACACGUGGGUAACCUACCUAUAAGACUGGAAUAACUCCGGGAAACCGGGGCUAAUGCCGGAUAACAUUUAGAACCGCAUGGUUCUAAAGUGAAAGAUGGUUUUGCUAUCACUUAUAGAUGGACCCGCGCCGUAUUAGCUAGUUGGUAAGGUAACGGCUUACCAAGGCAACGAUACGUAGCCGACCUGAGAGGGUGGUCGGCCACACUGGAACUGAGACACGGUCCAGACUCCUACGGGGGGCAGCAGUAGGGAAUCUUCCGCAAUGGGCGAAAGCCUGACGGAGCAACGCCGCGUGAGGGAUGAAGGUCUUCGGAUCGUAAAACUCUGUUAUUAGGGAAGAACAAAUGUGUAAGUAACUGUGCACGUCUUGACGGUACCUAAUCAGAAAGCCACGGCUAACUACGUG
rnacentral:rRNA from 1 species